rnacentral:rRNA from 1 species
CUUCUUGUUUCAGAGGGGGAAUCCAUCAAGCUUGAUCAACCAUUAACAAGCAAUCCUAAUGUGGGAGGUUUUGGUCAGGGGGACGCAGAAAUCGUGCUUCAGGAUCCAUUACGUGUCCAAGGCCUUUUGUUCUUCUUCGCAUCCGUUAUUUUGGCACAAGUUUUUUUGGUUCUCAAAAAGAAACAGUUUGAAAAGGUUCAAUUGUACGAAAUGAAUUUCUAG